AUGCAAAAGGUGACACCAUCGACCACUCAAGCCGACAUAGCUUCAUUAGCUGCUGGCAUUACAGUUGACAAAUCAGUCGAGUUCACAUACCAAGAACUUUUCAAUGCUACAGAAGGCUUCAACAUAACUCAUAAAAUAGGACAAGGUGGUUUUGGUGCUGUCUAUUAUGCUGAGCUUGUAGGCGAGAAAGCCGCCAUAAAAAAAAUGGACAUGCAGGCUACUCAAGAGUUUCUUGCUGAGUUAAAGGUUUUGACACAUGUUCACCAUCUGAAUCUGGUGCGCUUGAUUGGUUAUUGCACAGAGAGUUCUUUGUUCCUUGUCUAUGAAUUUAUCGAGAAUGGAAACUUAAGCCAGCAUUUGCGUGGAACUGGUUAUGAGCCUCUUUCUUGGGCUGAAAGUGUUCGGAUUGCGCUAGAUUCAGCAAGAGGUCUUGAGUACAUUCAUGAGCAUACCGUUCCAGUCUACAUACAUCGGGACAUCAAAUCCGCAAACAUCUUGAUAGACAAGAACACCCGGGCAAAGGUUGCAGAUUUUGGUCUGACAAAGCUUACAGAAGUUGGCGGUGCAUCUUUGCAAACACGUGUUGUUCGUACAUUCGGUUACAUGCCUCCGGAAUAUGUUCGAUACGGUGAUGUUUCUCGUAAGGUUGAUGUGUAUGCCUUUGGUGUUGUCUUGUACGAACUUAUCUCAGCCAAAGAUGCCAUUGUCCGACCAACCGAUGGAUCUGCUAGUGGUUCAAGGGGACUGGUUUAUCUGUUUGAGGAGACUCUCACUGCAUCGGAUCCGAAAGAAGGCCUCCAGAAGCUGAUCGAUCCGAAGCUGGGAGAUGAUUAUCCCAUGGACGCCAUCCUCAUGAUGACACACCUGGCGAACGCAUGCACGGAGGAGGACCCCAAGAUGAGGCCCACGAUGAGGUCCGUGGUUGUCGUGCUGAUGACGCUCUCUUCCAUGAGCGAGCUCUGGGAUAUGAAAAACCCGGGCUUGGUGAACAUCAUGUCUGGGAGAUGA
rnacentral:rRNA from 1 species